UACGAAGGGGGCUAGCGUUGCUCGGAUUGACUGGGCGUAAAGGGCGCGUAGGCGGUUCGUACAGUCAGACGUGAAAUUCCUGGGCUCAACCUGGGGGCUGCGUUUGAUACGUGCGGACUUGAGUGCGGAAGAGGGUCGUGGAAUUCCCAGUGUAGAGGUGAAAUUCGUAGAUAUUGGGAAGAACACCGGUGGCGAAGGCGGCGACCUGGUCCGAUGACUGACGCUGAGCGC
rnacentral:rRNA from 1 species